GGGAGAAGAAUAAGGCGAGACCGUGGCUAGGGUUAAAGUUAGGGAGGGUGUGAAGACGAAGGAGGUCGGGAAAGGGAGGGACUUGAUGCUAGUGGUUUUGGAUGGGGAAGGGAUAGCCCAUGGUGAAGAUGAAUGAUGCAUAUGAGCAGGAAAGAAGACUGACGCUGGUGAGUAGGGAAGAGAGGGUUUUUCUUCAUAGGUAUUCACUCUCCUUCUGAUUGUUAUCGUUGCCUGAAGAGGAACAUGGUGGUGCUAAGGUUGAAGGGAUAAGCGAUGAGGAGCUGAUGGGGAUGCCAAGUCUUCUUCCUUCCGUCGACCAAUACAAUGAGAAGUUCCUUCUCCACCAUAUGGGGAUGCCAAGUCUUCUUCCUUCCGUCGACCUAUACAAUGAGAAAGAAGACGUUACCAGAGCCACAACACGACUUCAGACUUUAAAAUAAACCACAACCACAGUGAGCACCUUAGCCAGCAAAUCAAAACACCCACAAAGGGUGGUGUUAGCUUUUAAGUGUUGAUAAGUGCAGGCAAGAAUAGUGGUUGUUGGUUGAGAGGAUCUACCAUGUUCUGAAUUGUUAUUUUCAUAAAUGAUUUUAUCUAAAACUUUUAUAAUAGCUUGUUCCUA